UUCUCUCUCUUUCUCUCACUCCAUCGCAGGCUACCCUCUUACCUACCACCGUCCACCAUCCAUCACUGUCGCACACGAGCACCCACCUCCUCACCGGCGAUGGUACAACGCACCUCCCCACUAGUAAUGGUACCACCCAUCUCCCUACCGGCAACGGACAACAGUAGUUACUUUGAUUUGUGUCUCCUCUAGCGCACACCAGAGGAUUGGAGCUUCUCUUCUAUCUAUUUCUCACAAGAGCAGCGUUUUUUCUCUCUAUUUCUCGCUCGCAACAACCAUUGGAGCAACCCUGGUGGUGGAUGAACUUGUGGCUCGUAUGAAGAAUAGGCUUUUGAUGAUUUUGUAUAGUUGAGUUUCGGAAAGUGUCUCGGGAUUUGUUUUCGUUUGUGGACUUCAUAGACACUCUUCAUAUUUAGGGUGGAUCUUUUGUGUUGAUUCUUUUCCUCUCCAUUUGUUAGCAUCAUCUUGAUGCUUUUUGAUUAAUAAUAUUGUCUUUUAUUUAUCCCCCAAAAAUAGUUGGCUGAAGUUAUGUGUAGUUUGUUUUACACUGUAAUAUAUUGUUGAGAAAUCUUCUUCUAAUUAGAUUGGGGGAAGAAUUUAUGA